rnacentral:lncRNA from 1 species
CUCAAGGAAAGAGAGGGAGUGCCAAGCUGUUACUGUUUACCCUCUGGCCCAGAUCUUUCUUCAGAAGAAACCUGAGUGGUCUCACAGUUUAUCUCUUACACAGGGGUUUGGAGUAAGAUUCAUACCUGCUUCACCAGUGAUUUUCAAAGGAGGCAAAUCCUAUUUGAAGCUAAAGUCACAUAAAGAGAUUUGGAAUGAGGAAACAAAUUAUAGCAGCCUGCAAGUUGUAGAAUGAAGAAAUGCAAAUGUAAAGUACUGAACUUUGUCAUGGAUAGAUUUACCAAAGAGAAUUACUCUGCAUAACAUGAAUAAUGGAGUUCAGAAGGAAGCCCAUAUCCCAGACUUCCUCGGUUGUGCUGUUUUACUGAGGUUGGGUGGAGUCAACACAUCAUGGAUAAAGAAGUCCCUAAAGGCAGUCCCAGGGAGCCCGCACUGAACAUCAAGAAGUCAGACAAAUCCUUCAAACGCAAGAAGCCCACCGAAAAUGUGCUGAUCUUUUUAAUCAACAGACAACUGGGCAGGCACAGAAGUGACAUCGACCUGUCAAGAUGGGUGUGGAUGCUGUCAUAAAGCAACUCUAGGGUGGACAUGGCCUUGGACAAAAAGUCAUGUGGCUUACGUGCUGAAGCCUGCCCAUAUUUUUGAGAAAUUAAAUAUAAUUAGAACAAUAAACUCCUCCCAUGUUUGAGUCAUUAAAACAGAGUCUGUCAUUUCACUCCUUGAGGUUGGAUGUGUGUUUGCUGACAGGGUGUUCUUGGGUUACACUGGAAGGGGCUUCUGUUCAUCCUAACACGCUGUGCAGGGGUGCUUAGACCCAGGGGAGAGGGUGAGAUCAUGCUGCACACCAGAUCUCUCCCACCAUCAAUCUGAAAAACACUGCAAAGUCAAAGUGAUGUAGUACUUGGCAUUUAAGGACCAAAGACUCUUCUCCCUAGCCAUUUUGAAGAGACUGCCCUGGUGUUCCCCUCUAAAACCCAAUGCUUGUCCUAGUGAAAAGACAUUGUUUAAGAGCAGACCAACAGUUGGCCUGGGGGUUUGGGAUAUGUUUUAAUACUGCCAAUGUCAUAUCCACAGAGCCUUCCAGAGGCAACCGCUCUGCCCUUUGUCCCCAGGAAAGUAUAGAAUGCUCUGGUCACUUUUUUGUGUCAUGUCAAACAAACCUGCUCAGGCCACAGCCAAAGAUAAUUCAUUUGACUGAAAUGAAGCCACCUGGUAGGACAACAACACACAUGAGAUGGCUCCCAUUGAAGAAGCUCUGUCCCCAAGGAAUGUGCUGAGCAAGUCAGAUACUCAUUCUGAGAAACCUGAAAUGGGAACUAUGUGGGCAAUUGGUCACUGACAAGUGAGAGUUAAAGCUGAAGAGGGGACAGGGAGAGCAAAGAGGUCAGAGCCGUGGCAAACAUGGGCAAGCCUAAGUGAGGAGUAAGAUGAAAUUUACAUAAGGUGAACCAUUAAAGCCAUCACAGAUUCCAAGCAUUUCUCUUGUCCUUUCACGUGAGCUGCAAAAUAAGCCCCUGCAAGCAGUCCUCUGUCCCCUCUUCCCCUCCUCCCCAAUUCCCUGUGUUCUCACAACCUGUCCAGCAUUCCCCAAGGCCCCUUCCUGUGUCCCC